rnacentral:rRNA from 1 species
AUAUCAAUAAGCGGAGGAAAAGAAACCAACAGGGAUUACCCUAGUAACGGCGAGUGAAGCGGUAACAGCUCAAAUUUGAAAUCUGGUCUUCACGGGCCCGAGUUGUAAUUUGUAGAGGAUGUUUCGGGCAAUGCUCAGGCUUAAGUUUCUUGGAACAGAACGUCAUAGAGGGUGAGAGUCCCGUCUAGAGCCGCCGGCCGCGUCCAUGUGAAACUCCUUCGACGAGUCGAGUUGUUUGGGAAUGCAGCUCAAAAUGGGUGGUAAAUUUCAUCUAAAGCUAAAUAUUGGCCAGAGACCGAUAGCGCACAAGUAGAGUGAUCGAAAGAUGAAAAGCACUUUGAAAAGAGAGUUAAACAGUAU